GCCUUCGUGGUGCAAUGGUCAAGCACACUAGACACGUAUUCGAGAGGUCCGUGGUUCGAGUCCCGGCGAAGGCA
rnacentral:tRNA from 1 species